ACUUGUUUUGGUUCAUACAGGUUUUUCAAAACAGUAUUUACAUUUAUUCUGUCUGUUAAGGGUAGUUGUCCUUCAGCAGUGCAUGGUGUUAGGUUAACUAUGGUUUAAGAUAUAGUUAUCUUUAGGCACAUGUAUUUCAGCACUUGAGCCUCAAUAGUUAGAUUCCAGAGUAGAUGCCAUUUCAUUCUACCAUAGAAGACUUUAGUUUAAGAUAAUAGACUAAAUUUUAAACCAGCCAGCUAGUCCUGCUUCCCUCCCCUCCUCUUUGCUGUCCUUCCUUUUGUCCUCCUUCCUUUUUAUUCAACCCCCCCCCUUUUAUUUUUCUUACUUUUAAUUUUUAUGGGUACGUAGUAGGUAUAUAUAUUUAUGGGGUACAUGAGAUGUUUUGCUACAGGCAUACAAUGUAUGUUAAUCACAUCAUCUUAAAUGGGGUAUCCAUUACCUCAAGCAUUUAUUAUUUUUUUGUUACCAACAUUCCAGUUAAUACUGUCUUAUUUUUAAAUGUACAAUGAUUGUUGACAGUAAUCAUCCUGUUGUGCUAUCAAAUACUAGAUCUUAUUCAUUCUAACUAUAUUUUUACACCCAUUAACUCUCCUCACUUCCUUCCCGACACCCUACCCUUCCGAGCUUCUGGUAACCAUCAUUCUACUCUGAAUCAUCAUACAAUUGUCUUUUAAAUAAGGGGAAGAAAUUCUGAUCUUUGAUUUCCAGCUGCCAGAUUGUGCUACCAGUGAGUUUCCUCACAAUUUACUUUUUUCUCAAGCUUAAUUGAAGUUUUAGAAAAUGAAAUAAUGUCUGGAUGAAACUCGAUGACAUUUGGCAGUUUUAUGAAGUGGGACACGUGGAAAUGUCCUGUGGCAAGAGAUCCAUCAAGAAAGAAUGCAUUCUCCUUUGGGACAGAAGGGAAAACAAAUGCAGACUUUAAAGCACUUGACGAUUUUCAGACUCAUCACUGCUGGAGAAGCUGCUGGGGAGAGGAAAGUGUGAUACUUCCCAGUCUAGACUAGUGAUGAAAACUAGAAUUCAGGAUUUAAAACUAUUAUUAUCCCAGGAGGUGCUUUUGGGGGAGGAAAGUCUACAGAGGCAAGUCCCCGAAGGCACUGAGCUUCCCUUCUGUUCUGUGUUAGGUUGUGAUUUAACAGUACUUGGUUAAGAGAAGGCGAAAAGAUUAAGAGUGUUGAGGGUUGGGAGCAAGGUGGUGUUUUAUUCCUUUUGUUUAAGUAAUUUAUAGCCACCUUUGAAACUUUUCUCCCUUAAUAUGAUCUCCCAGAAAGGGAAAUCAUAGUAAGAGUUUGAUCGGCACCAUAGGAAAGGGAAUAAAAAAUAAAUGAAACAAACUAAAAAUAAAGCUUGAGGCUUCCGGAUGUUAUAUUCUGAUACAUUUCUGAAGCAACUGUCAUAUCCAUGGAGGAAUGUAAAUAAUCCUCGAAUGUAGUUGGCCAGUCCAGAUGCUGUCUCAUGGCUUUUGGGAAGCCACAGGAUAAACCAGGAAUGUGAGGGAGCCUCAGCCUUCACCAUUUGUAGGCCAUGUGUCUGUGCCACCAUUGUUCUAAGGAAAAAGGCAUCUUUGGAACAUGUGUAAAGUCUAACUUUUCCCCCUGCAGUGGUUUGCAGGAAAAAUUUAGAUAGCACAACAGUGGCAAUCCACGAUGAAGAGAUCUACUGCAAAUCCUGCUACGGAAAGAAGUAUGGGCCAAAAGGCUACGGUUAUGGCCAGGGCGCUGGCACGCUUAACAUGGACCGUGGCGAGAGGCUGGGCAUCAAACCAGAGAGGUGAGUUGGGAGACUGUUGGUUACCUUCAGAAAUGAGUUGCGACAGUUAGUGCCGCUUGCUGAACAGGAACCUGGCAGUCUCCAGAUUUUUAGUUGAAACUAAGCAAAUAAAAUGGGACUCUGAUUUUCUAAUGUCAACUAGUUCAAAAUAUUGAGUUUUGGACCUAACAAAGUUCUUAUUAAUAAUUCCAGUGAUUUCUACUGCUGGCUUUAUAGCAUUCCAAGCUGUAUCAAGGAGUCGUGUUCUCAAAAGCAAGUGAUUUGUAUUUACUUCCAUUUCACAGCACCUUGGAGACCGGAUGUCAUGAAAUUAAAUGGUAGAGAAAUGUGCUGUGUGAAUCAUGAGAGGUGUUUCUCAUGUGCAAUGUAAGCAGCCAAUGAAAAUUCCUAAGUCACUCCUUCUAUGUAAACAUUUUUCAUCAAGAAAUCACUUUUCUCUAACUUAAAAUUUUUUACUUAAAAAUGGAAAUUACUUCUUGUUUUUGAUUCUUUGAGAGAGUAGUGUUAAACUUUAAAGGCUUUGUUGCCAACGUAUCAAGGUGCUAAAUUUGUGAAAGUUCACUUAGUAUUUCAUAUUCAGGUUAAAUAACUUAUUUGUUUAGAAUUCCCCCCACACACUUUUUUUUUUCUUUUUUGUCACAGAAUCUCACUCUGUCACCCAAGCUGGAGUGCACUGGCACAAUCUCGGCUCACUGCAACCUCUGCCUCCCAGGUUCAAGUGAUUCUCUUGUCUCAGCCUCCCGAGUAGCUGGGAUUACAGGCGUGCACCACCACACCGGGCUAAUUUUUGUAUUUUUGGUAGAGGCGGGGUCUCACCAUAUUGGCCAGGCUGGUCCUGAACUCCUGGCCUCAAGUGAUCUACUUAUCUCGGCCUCCCAAAGUGCAUGGAAUAACAGGCAUGAGCCACCGUGCCCAACCUGGAAUUUCCUAACUCCUACUUUUAGCCCAGUGAUUCCACUAUUUGAACUUCACAUUUUCACAUCCAUUUUAUAUUGAGAAGUCCAAAAUUGGUGUAAUAGUCCAACAAAAUGGCCUUUGGACAAGACCAUAAACCAUGCCAGCCACCGUGCAGCAUUAGCAUAUGUUAACUCGUGUAAUCCUCACAACAGUCCUACAACAUAGGGCUUCCUCUCUUUCUUCAGAACAGAUGAAGACAAGAAAAAUUAAGUAAAAACUUUGCCCAAAGUCACACUGUUAGUUAAUUGUAGAGCCUGGAACUUAACCUAGUCUAACUCCAAACCUUAUGACCUGAAUGAAACGUGGUGCUUGGCUUGGCUAAAAUAAUAAUUACCAUGUAUUGAGUCCCUGUUGUCUGUUGAACAUUUAUUUUCAUUCUCUAUAAUCCUUAGAGUAACUCUGAGGUAUACUUUGUCCGUUUAUAGAUGACGACACUAAGAGUCAGGUCACAAAAAUAAGUGAGGGAGCCAGGAUUUGAAUCAAUGUCCAUUUGGUUCCAAAAUCUGUUCUCUUCCUACUGCAGUAUGUACUACAUUGAGGCUCACCUCUGUGUUCUUUGAGCUUCUUCCACCCUCAGAGUUUCUGGGCCAUGAUGCCCAGCUUACCUUUUUAUCUUUGUUAAAAUUUAUUUUACUUGUUCUGCUCUCCUUUUCCAUCUUGUUACAUCUAUUUUUGUGUUUUAAAGGUUUUGUUGAAAACCUUUCAAAAUCCAUAUCCCCUCACUCAACCUGCAUCUCCCUCAAUCCAAACCAGAUUUAUCCAUGACCCCAAAAGUAAGUCAGUGACUAUGGCCAUAGUUUUAAAGCACAAAGACCAGUGAACCCUCCUUUUUUUUUAAAAAAAAAAAUAUAUAUAUAGACAGGGUCUUGCUAUGUUGCCUAGGCUGGCCUCGAACUCCUGAGUUCAAGUUAUCCUUCCACAUUGGCCUCCCAAAGUGCUAGGAAGACAUUGUUUUUCCAGUAGGAAAAAUUAACAGUUGUGGAGUGCUAUCAUUUUAUCUGCUCAGCUAAUUUAUAAGGUUCUAAGAGGGCUUAAAAAAAAAAAAGUCUUCUCAAAGCCCGAGAGUGUUCUGCACAUACUAGGUACACCUUACUGAAUGGAAACAGUUCCUACUGAUAGCAAGAAAUAUGGUUUACUCAGUGAUCUGUAAAUAGUGACAAAAAUACCACCCUUACCAGAGAAAAAUGAAAGAUAAACAGAUUGCAUAGUAAUAAUCAAAAUUUAUAAAAUAUUUUUCCAUGAAGAAAGUUGGCUAUUCACACUUUUCUUUAUUCAAGAUAUACUGGGAGACUAAGUAAUCUAUAAAACAUGCUUAAAUUUCUUAGUUACAGACCAAAGUUAACUUACCUAUUUGUGGAAUGUUUAAACUACUUAAUAGUGGUUUUUCCGACUCCUGUGAAGUAAAAAGCUAGGUAUGAUUCCAGUGAUACUAUUCUGGAGUAAAAAUAUAUGCUCUGGUAAGUUUUUAUAAACCAUAACAUAAUUGCUUAGUGGGGAGGCCAACACUGAAGAGUAAAUGAAUUCUGUUUAGACUCAGAGGGACAGAUCUUUACGUUUGGGUCCCUAUCUGGUUUUUUGAAAUAAUAAUGAGCCCAUAGAUAGGUUCAAGUAGUAACUCUGGCUGGCACCUGAGUCACUUCUUUAUUCCCUCCCCUGUGCUGGCCUGCAAAGGCUUCCAGCUUUGAGGCAGUGUAGCGGUUAAGUCCCAGAGUUCCAUUGUUCCUGCCUUGUGUACUUAAAAGGGCCCUGUGGAAACUCUUGCCUACUUUUUUUUCCUCUUUUCACAAGUGUUCAGCCUCACAGGCCUACAACAAAUCCAAACACUUCUAAAUUUGCUCAGAAAUAUGGAGGUGCUGAGAAGUGUUCCAGAUGUGGGGAUUCUGUAUAUGCUGCCGAGAAGAUAAUUGGAGCUGGAAAGCCCUGGCACAAAAACUGUUUCCGAUGUGCAAAGUGUGGGAAGAGUCUUGAAUCAACAACUCUGACUGAAAAAGAAGGUGAAAUCUAUUGUAAAGGAUGCUAUGCAAAGAACUUUGGGCCCAAGGGAUUUGGCUAUGGCCAAGGAGCAGGGGCUCUUGUUCAUGCCCAGUAAGAUGUAAACCCUGAACUAAACAUCACACACUGAGAAUCUCUUCAUCAUCUAGGCACAGAUAAUCUUUAACACUAAACUACUGUGAAAUUCUACCAGCAUUAAGUACUGUAUAUUGUGCUGUACUUGGAUAGGCUGGCUAACUCGUAGGAAGAGAGCACUGUAUGGUAUCCUUUUGCUUUAUUCACCAGCAUUUUGGGGGAACAUUUCUUUUACAUUUUAAAUAAAACUUCAGCUUG
rnacentral:sRNA from 1 species